GUUAAAGUGACAGCCUAUCCACAUGCAGACUCCUCUUCUUAAUCACAAAUAUCAUAAUUAUUCUUUCCAUAAACAUUUUCUCCUUUCUUCACUCAGAGAUUCCAAAUCUAAGACCCUGUAUCCUCUUCCAAGCAAGGGAACUGAAUAGUUAUGGCUGCAGAGGCGCCAAGCUGGGCAGAUCAAUGGGGUGCAGGAGGAAUCGGUGCAAUGGAAGAUGAGAAUACUAAAACCAACAAAGAAGUGAACAACAAGAAGAAUACAGGCUCCACUGCAGGACUCGGUAAAGCCAAAGCAGCAGCCAUUUUAGGUGCACAAAAGGUCAAGAAUGGCACAUCAAUGGGCAUCAAGUGGGUCAAAAACAGAUGUCAAAAGAAACCCUCUUCAACAUAAAUAUUAUCAAAGAAAAAACUCUGCUGUAUUGCUUAGUGAUUCAAAAUUAUGUUCCAUCUGUAUUUUGUCACGUCAAAAAACUCAACACUUGUUUCAUCUAUCAACUCCUUUCUUGAAAAAUUAACUUUAUUCAUAUUUAUUCUUUUAAAGAAAAAUAAAA